rnacentral:misc_RNA from 1 species
GAUUAAGAACGUAGCGAAAUGCGAUAAGUAAUGUGAAUUGCAGAAUUCAGUGAAUCAUCGAAUCUUUGAACGCACAUUGCGCCCCUUGGUAUUCCGGGGGGCAUGCCUGUUCGAGCGUCAUUUCAACCCUCAAGCUCUGCUUGGUAUUGGGCUCCGUCCUCCUCGGACGCGCCUCAAAGACCUCGGCGGUGGCGUCUUGCCUCAAGCGUAGUAGAAACACCUCGCUUUGGAGUGCAUGGCGUCGCCCGCCGGACGAAACCUUUUGUAUUUUCUCAAGGUUGACCUCGGAUCAGGUAGGGAUACCCGCUGAACUUAAGCAUAUCAAUAAGCGGAGGA